rnacentral:lncRNA from 1 species
GGCAGUGUGACGCUCAUAAGCUUUAAAUGGAUGUGUACUCUUUUCUCCUUCGAUUAGGUUUUGUCCCACUGGGUUUUCCUAACAAGGUUUUUAACGAGGCAUAUUCCAUAGAUGGUGGACAUCCAAGGGGGAGUGUUAUGAAUUCUUUGAAGUGGUGGAUGCCCACCAUUACACCACCAUUACUCCCACUACCACCACCACAACUCCCACCAUCAUCUCCACCAUUAUUCAUCAUUAAAAGUGUUGUA